GACGAACGCUGGCGGCGUGCUUAACACAUGCAAGUCGAACGGUAAGGCCCUUCGGGGUACACGAGUGGCGAACGGGUGAGUAACACGUGGGUGAUCUGCCCUGCACUUCGGGAUAAGCCUGGGAAACUGGGUCUAAUACCGGAUAGAACCACUGCCUGCAUGGGUGGUGGUGGAAAGCUUUUGCGGUGUGGGAUGGGCCCGCGGCCUAUCAGCUUGUUGGUGGGGUGAUGGCCUACCAGGGCGACGACGGGUAGCCGGCCUGAGAGGGCGACCGGCCACACUGGGACUGAGAUACGGCCCAGACUCCUACGGGAGGCAGCAGUGGGGAAUAUUGCACAAUGGGCGCAAGCCUGAUGCAGCGACGCCGCGUGAGGGAUGACGGCCUUCGGGUUGUAAACCUCUUUCAGCACCGACGAAGCGCAAGUGACGGUAGGUGCAGAAGAAGGACCGGCCAACUACGUGCCAGCAGCCGCCGUAA
rnacentral:rRNA from 1 species